rnacentral:rRNA from 1 species
GAGCGGAUGACAGGAGCUUGCUCCUGAAUUCAGCGGCGGACGGGUGAGUAAUGCCUAGGAAUCUGCCUGGUAGUGGGGGACAACGUUUCGAAAGGAACGCUAAUACCGCAUACGUCCUACGGGAGAAAGCAGGGGACCUUCGGGCCUUGCGCUAUCAGAUGAGCCUAGGUCGGAUUAGCUAGUUGGUGAGGUAAUGGCUCACCAAGGCGACGAUCCGUAACUGGUCUGAGAGGAUGAUCAGUCACACUGGAACUGAGACACGGUCCAGACUCCUACGGGAGGCAGCAGUGGGGAAUAUUGGACAAUGGGCGAAAGCCUGAUCCAGCCAUGCCGCGUGUGUGAAGAAGGUCUUCGGAUUGUAAAGCACUUUAAGUUGGGAGGAAGGGCAUUAACCUAAUACGUUAGUGUUUUGACGUAACCGACAGAAU